CGAGGGUCUGCAGACAACGUCACACAAAGUUAGCUUGUGCAAACAGCGACGGCUCGUGAGGCACGCUAUUCAUUCUCUAACGAAAUCACAGCUGAGUUGGAAGACUUAAGAUUCUUCUGAAAGACUUAUAUUUAUAACUUCGAAGGUCGAAAGGUUAUGAAGAAACUCAUCGAAUAGCAAAUUCUACGUCAGUUUUUCCAUUCCAAUAUUGUUCGAAAGUGCUUCCAAGUCGGUCGUGAGAAAACCCCUGGAAGUUACCAGGACGUCUACAUCUUGAAGAGACUCUUCAGUUUAUAAGAUCUGUCUGACGGUGGCGUCAUCAUGUGAGAUAAGCACAGUCCCUACUUGGCUGUGGUCUAUUUUAAAUGGCUAGGUAAUCCAUGGACCAUUCACAAAACGGGUCAAAAAGACUGACAAGCGACGUAGGGCAAGCACAACCGCAGGGAGAAAUGGACGCAUUACUACUGGGACGAACAAAGUAACUUGUGGCAGAUACUCUGGAACGUAUAUAGGAGAAACUUGCCGACCCAUCCAUGAUCGAAUAUCUGAACAUGUGCGUGACAUCCAAAACCUCAAUAUUAACAAUGCUAUUGCAAUGAAAGUGUUCCAACUUGUAGGA